rnacentral:lncRNA from 1 species
UUGCAUCUGCGAUUCUUCAUGUUUAAUGAUAUUAAUUGUUUUAAUCCAUUAGAUAGUUGCAAAUAUUUAUUGGGUUAGAAUUAAUUAUAUAGCCAAUUGAACCGGCCAUCCGUAAUUGUGGUUUAGGUUUGAUUAGUGGUAAAUUGACACAUCAGGGUCAAAGGAAAAGCAGUCUUAAUUCAAUAAUCCUGCGUCAGAGUUUAUUGGUUUUGAAUCGGGUUUCUCUAGAUAUUAAUGCUGUCGGCUCAUUAAACUUAUAGAGCGUCUCUUACGGUUGUCAGUCGAUUAGAGUAGUAAUUAGUGAAGCGUCUUCCUGGUUACCGAAUAAUUAAGGAGAAAUAAGAUCACGUCAGAAGCGUCUUCGGUGAUUAUAACUGGUUUGUUUGCAUGAUUUAAAGUUAUUUUUGCAUCCAUGAUCGGAAUAAUUGAGCUAGGGUGGACUUAAUUGAUUGCUGGAAUUCUUUUAUUAAUUGUUGGAAUUUUUAUUCAUCUUUUAGCUAUUGGAAAAAUUGGUUUAUUUGGGUUUUAUUUAUUUAAUUUUAAGUUUAGUAUUUUCUAUAUUUUC